AAAAAUAUUAUAAAGGUACUGGCUUCAUAAUAGAUACGCAAUAUAAACUCCAAAGACCUUGACAAGAUGCAUAAAAAAAAGUUUGUAUCUGGCUGGAAUCUGCCACCUUCUAUGUAACAAUUAAAAAGGAAACUCGAUCAAAGUAUAAAUGAAUGAUAAUUCAGUCUAUUCCAAAUAAGCUGUAUAAUUUUGUGAAUUAUCAAUAUUAACUAAAACUUAGAGCAAAGUAGGAGAGAAUUCUACAGUCAGAUCAGCCAAAGAAUGAUUACAAUUCAGCCUCUUUAUUAAGAGAGGAUUAUGAUGCCAAAUAGUUGAAAACAAAAGAUAUAACUACAUGACCAGAACCAGAUAGUGCAGAGGCAAUUCAUGGAAUUAAAUGAAACUAAUAGAUUCUCAAGGAGAUUAC
rnacentral:misc_RNA from 1 species